GAUGAAGAACGUAGCGAAAUGCGAUAAGUAAUGCGAAUUGCAGAAUUCAGUGAGUCAUCGAAUCUUUGAACGCACAUUGCGCCCUGUGGUAUUCCGCAGGGCAUGCCUGUUCGAGCGUCAUUUCAACCCUCAAGCCUCGCUUGGUGUUGGGCCCUGCCCGCCGCGGCCGGCCCUAAAGAUAGUGGCGGCGCCGCCUGGCCCUCAGCGUAGUACAGCUCUCGCUCCAGGGUCCGGCGGCAGCCUGCAAGAACCCCCCAACUCUGUGGUUGACCUCGGAUCAGGUAGGGAUACCCGCUGAACUUAAGCAUAUCAAUAAGCGGAGGA
rnacentral:misc_RNA from 1 species